UUAAACACCCUAAGAUACUCACAUUGGGAAUUAAACUCCUCUUUAGGGGAGGUAAACCAUAUUAAAACAAUAAGCAUGUGCUAAUAUAAAACUUGUUCCGUAUUUCCCAUCUCUUUCAGAUGAAAGUUUAAUUUAAUUUCUUUAUUUGUUCAGAUUUGUGUUUGGAGUUACUAAUUCCUCUUUUUAUUGUGUUAUUACUUUAGAUGUGCGCCAUGAAUUCUGACAUGUAGGACUUCAACUAAUUUUACAACUAUUCUUUUAACUGAAUUCAAUUUUAUACAAAAUCUUUUAUAUUAAAAUUAAAUUUCUAGCAGCAUGUGGUGGUGCCACUUAGCUCUUGGGAGGCAGAGGCAGGUGGAUCUCUGUGAGUUAAUGCCAAGCCUAGUCUACAAAGUGAAUCUAUGCCUGCCAUCUGGACUACACAGUGAGACCUUGUCUUAAAGAAAUAUUGCUAGUCUCCCAUCUCUGUUUCUAAAAAGUUUUCUUGAAAUGUUUUUGUGUUACAUGCAUAUGAACAUACGGUGCACAUGACUGAGUGUGGGUACACAGAGGCCAGCCCAAGAUGUCAUGUGUCUUUCUCUAUUGCUCUCUACCUCCACCUUGACACAAGAUGUAUUAGCCAGGGUUCUCUAGAGUAGCAGAACUUACAGGAUGAACUCUUUCUCUCUCUCAUAUAUAUAUUUUAGGAAGAGGAUUUAUUAGAAUGACUUAGAAGUUGUGGUCCAACUAGUCCAACAGUGGUUAACUUCGAAUGGAAAGUCCAAGAAUCCAGAGCUUGCUCAGUCCCUGAGACUGGAUGUCUCAGCUGGUCUUCAGGAGACACUGGAAUCCUGGAUAAGCUUCCAGCAGAAGGUGUGACCCAGAUUAAAGCUGUGUCUUUCUGCCUCAAGAUCCAGAUGAAAGGUGUGUGUCUUCCUACUUCAAAGGUUGGGACCAGAAGUGGAAUUCCCCACCUCAAACCAAGUGAAGAGUCUCUCACAGAUGAGCACAGCUACCACCCACCACCAGAGAAGCUUCUCUUUGCUGCAAAUGGAGACAUCACAGAAAACCACAAUGACUCCUGGCACCGGUGGAAACAUCCGCAGCGUCUCCUGCAUCUAUGGUUCAGGGAAUGCGGAGGAAGAGGUGGUGGGACGAUUGUAAGAGCCAGAAUACCAGGGAGUCUGCUGUGAGACUGUCUUCCCUAGAAAGGGCUGCGCAGAGACCAGAACAAUGGCGAUAUUCGCAGAUGUGCUAAUGCAGAAGGGAGAAAGCUCAUGGAGCUCCACCCCUAGGCAAAGAACUACAGACAAUAAUUGCUAAGAGAGGGAGAAUUAGCCUCUCCCUGGGAUGGGUCCCAUAAGUGGUUACCCAAUGCAAGGAAGUCAGUCCUGAAAUCUCAUCCACCCAAACAACAAACAUGGACUUACUUAUAUAUUUUGCAUAUAUGUACGCAUGCACACACACACACACACACACACACACACACACACACUCCACACAUCCAUAAUAAUCAAAGGAAAAGAGGCUAUCCAUUUGAGAGUGAGGGAAAGGACAAGGAG